UACGUAGGGUGCGAGCGUUGUCCGGAAUUAUUGGGCGUAAAGGGCUCGUAGGCGGUUUGUCGCGUCGAGUGUGAAAACCCGGGGCUCAACCCCGGGCCUGCAUUCGAUACGGGCAGACUAGAGUUCGGUAGGGGAGUCUGGAAUUCCUGGUGUAGCGGUGAAAUGCGCAGAUAUCAGGAGGAACACCGGUGGCGAAGGCGGGACUCUGGGCCGAUACUGACGCUGAGGAGCGAAAGCGUGGGGAGCAAACAGG
rnacentral:rRNA from 1 species